rnacentral:rRNA from 1 species
GACGUAGGGCGCGAGCGUUGUCCGGAUUUAUUGGGCGUAAAGAGCUCGUAGGCGGCUUGUCGCGUCGAAUGUGAAAUCUCAGGGCUCAACUCUGACAUUGCAUUCGAUACGGGCAGGCUCGAGUUCGGUAGGGGAGACUGGAAUUCCUGGUGUAGCGGUGAAAUGCAUAGAGAUCCGGAGGAACACCGACGGCGUAGGCAGCGCCCUAGACGAGACCUGACGCUCAGGCACGAAAGCGCGGGGAGCGAACAGG